GUAGGUGACAGCUUGUCCGCAUUUAUUGGGCGUUAAGCGNNNNNNNGCGGUCUUUAAGUCUGAUGUGAAAAGCCCACGGCUCAACCGUGGAGGGUCAUUGGAAACUGGAAGNCUUGAAUCCAGAAGAGGAAAGUGGAAUUCCAUGUGUAGCGGUGAAAUGCGUAGAUAUAUGGAGGAACACCAGUGGCGAAGGCGACUUUCUGGUCUGUAAUUGACGCUGAGGCUCGAAAGCGUGGGGAGCGAACAGGAUUAGAUACCCUGGUAGUCCACGCCGUAAACGAUGAGUGCUAAGUGUUGGAGGGUUUCCGCCCUUCAGUGCUGGMKAACGCAUUAAGCACUCCGCC
rnacentral:rRNA from 1 species